GCGACAUAGUGAUGGAAAUCAACAAGAACAACAAGAUCCUAGGAAUGUUCGUGAGAUGAUUCAAGAUGCAAUUGCACAAGAAGCUCCAAUCACAAGGACUAGAGUUAAGAAGAUGCAAGAGCUAAUUGAGGAAGCAGUUGCACAAGAAGCUAAAUAUGAAGAUACAAUCAAUAAAUUAGGGUUACAAGAAGAUGAGAAGUGGCUAAAUUUGAUCCAAGUUUGCGUAGAAGAUGAUCAAGAAAUAUUUGGACAGAAUUGAUGAAAUUUUAUGCAAAUUUAGU
rnacentral:misc_RNA from 1 species